rnacentral:rRNA from 1 species
CAGUAGCCGCGGGAAAACGAAGGGGGCUAGCGUUGUUCGGAUUUACUGGGCGUAAAGGGCGCGUAGGCGGACUGAUAAGUCAGGGGUGAAAUCCCAAGGCUCAACCUUGGAACUGCCUUUGAUACUGUUUGUCUUGAGUUCGAGAGAGGUAAGUGGAACUGCGAGUGUAGAGGUGAAAUUCGUAGAUAUUCGCAAGAACACCAGUGGCGAAGGCGGCUUACUGGCUCGAAACUGACGCUGAGGCGCGAAAGCGUGGGGAGCAAACAGGAUUAGAUACCCCAGUAGUCCCUGUCUCUUAACA